rnacentral:rRNA from 1 species
GAACGCUGGCGGCGUGCCUAAUACAUGCAAGUCGAGCGAACAGACGAGGAGCUUGCUCCUCUGACGUUAGCGGCGGACGGGUGAGUAACACGUGGAUAACCUACCUAUAAGACUGGGAUAACUUCGGGAAACCGGAGCUAAUACCGGAUAAUAUAUUGAACCGCAUGGUUCAAUAGUGAAAGACGGUUUUGCUGUCACUUAUAGAUGGAUCCGCGCCGCAUUAGCUAGUUGGUAAGGUAACGGCUUACCAAGGCGACGAUGCGUAGCCGACCUGAGAGGGUGAUCGGCCACACUGGAACUGAGACACGGUCCAGACUCCUACGGGAGGCAGCAGUAGGGAAUCUUCCGCAAUGGGCGAAAGCCUGACGGAGCAACGCCGCGGGAGUGAUGAAGGUCUUCGGAUCGUAAAACUCUGUUAUUAGGGAAGAACAAAUGUGUAAGUAACUAUGCACGUCUUGACGGUACCUAAUCAGAAAGCCACGGCUAACUACGU